rnacentral:rRNA from 1 species
AUCCAGACUCCUACGGGAGGCAGCAGUGGGGAAUAUUGCACAAUGGGGGAAACCCUGAUGCAGCGACGCCGCGUGUGGGAAGACGGUCCUCUGGAUUGUAAACCACUGUCCCCAGGGACGAAGAUGACGGUACCUGGGGAGGAAGCUCCGGCUAACUACGUGCCAGCAGCCGCGGUAAUACGUAGGGAGCGAGCGUUGUCCGGAAUUACUGGGUGUAAAGGGAGCGCAGACGGCAGCGCAAGCCAGGAGUGAAAGCCCGGGGCCCAACCCCGGGACUGCUCUUGGAACUGCGCGGCUGGAGUGCAGGAGGGGCAGGCGGAAUUCCUGGUGUAGCGGUGAAAUGCGUAGAUAUCAGGAGGAACACCAGUGGCGAAGGCGGCUUACUGGACGGCAACUGACGCUGAGGCUCGAAAGCGUGGGGAGCAAACAGGAUUAGAUACCCGAGUAA